UACGUAGGGUGCAAGCGUUGUCCGGAAUUAUUGGGCGUAAAGAGCUCGUAGGCGGUCUGUCGCGUCGGAUGUGAAAAUCCAGGGCUCAACCCUGGACCUGCAUUCGAUACGGGCAGACUAGAGUUCGGUAGGGGAGACUGGAAUUCCUGGUGUAGCGGUGAAAUGCGCAGAUAUCAGGAGGAACACCGGUGGCGAAGCGGUCUCUGGCCGAUACUGACGCUGAGGAGCGAAAGCGUGGGGAGCGAACAGG
rnacentral:rRNA from 1 species